AGCUGCAGAGUGCAGAGCCCCAGUCUCCAGCCUAGGAACUUGGCCCCUUUGGGCCACCCGGGGCGGGAGGAUGAAUACCCAGCGCGCCUGCGGUUUCCAAGCCUAAUCACUGCCUUGGGCCUGUGGAGCCACAUUAAGGGGAAUGAUUCUCCUCCUCAAUCUCCUCCUCCUUCGAAGCGGCAGCCCCGGGUCUCACUGAGCACCACAGGGAAGCCGACCUCACGGAGUGAAGAGAUGGAAUUGGAAGAGCCGAGCUGGGGCCUCACACAGGACCUUGCAAUGUAAACAAGGAAGCAGCUGCCAGGAAUCAGAUCCUCUCACCCCUGCUGAGGAGCAGGUGCGCAGCCUUGGACUCCGAGGGAGAUCGUUAGAUCAUUGGCAGCGGGCGAGCAGUAAUUACAGAGGCUUCUCCGCUUGCAGGUUAAACUCCGCGUGUUCUGUUGGAAACCACACCCCACACCCCCCGGGAUCCCGUUCUCCCCACAGGGGCUACUCUGCAGGGAGGAAAGGCUUCCAAACCCCGGAAACCAAAGCAGGCUUUCUGUUCCCAGCCGAAGGCCCUGGACCCUGCCUUCCAGCCUCAGUUUCCUCCAUUGGGAAAUAAAGAUAGUAAUUCCUUCCUCGGGGGUACAGAUGGAUUGGUUAGAGCUGAGGUUAACGUGCCCCCCUCUGGGUGGCCUAAAGGAUCCUCCGCAGUCCUGGGGGAGUGGGUAGGUUUGCUCCUCCCCAGGCUGGGAGCCGAGGAGGUGGCCAGGCCUCUGUCCCCGCCUGAAGGUCGCUGUCUUC
rnacentral:lncRNA from 1 species